rnacentral:lncRNA from 1 species
UUGAAAUUCAGAAGUUGGUUUAUGUUUUGAUUCUAUUUCUUUCCAUAUUUCUUGAAAUGAUAGUAUCCAAUUGUACUUUCAUUGGGUUUCAAGACAAUCCUUGUAAAACAGAUAAAGAUUGUCGAAAAGUUAGAGGGGUUAAUCUUAGAUGUCGUAAUGGCCAUUGUGUAAUGAUUUUGCAAUAAACGAGUUCUUUCACUGGCAAGAGAAUUGUACGGUAUACCUUAUGCUUGAAUCUGUUAGGGUUGAUUCACAUGCAUUGAAUGGACCAGGUUUUAUGCCCCCCCCAACAAUUUUAAUGUAAUUUUUUUUUACCUUUUUUAAUAAUAUAUAUGAGCAUUUGUCAAAAGUUAGAGUAUGGUACCAACUUAAUUAGUUGGACACUAUUCUUUCUGAUGUCAUUUUUCUUUUAUAACUUAUAAAAAAAAUAUUACACUUGUUGUCAUUUAGUUAUUGUGCAUGCACUAAAUUAUUGUUUUCUUCUUAUUACUCUUCUUCGUCUUCUUCUUUUCCAUCCUAAUUUCAAGGAAAUGAAACAAGGCAACUCUUCUUCAUCCUAAUUUGUCAAUGAUAAUGAUUCAAAUUUUGAUUUUUUAUAUAAAUUUUGAAUGCUUUUGAUUUGGCAAAAUACUAUUAUUUGCAAAAUUUUAUGUAUUGAUUUAAAUUCAGUUAUGUUUCUUUUCUUUUUUAUUGUUUUUUGUAUUAAAGUGCGGGUAAUGGGCGCGAGUACGGACAUUUAGAUGUCCAUAGGGCAUGGGGACGGGUAGUAAAAUUGUUGCCCACGAGGGUAUGAGUUCGGGUACAUGUAUUUUUUACAAAUACGGGUAUGGGGACAAGCAUUAUAGUACCCUGCCCAUUGGGGACGCAUUGCCAUCCCUACGUGUUGUUCAUCUAUAUACACUACAUGCUGAACGAAAAUGGCUUAAGAACAAUAUUUCUCAAUUUUGGUAUAGAUGAUAAUAAAGUACAAAAGAAAAAUUUAUUUUCUCAUGCUUGUUUCAUGUGAAAAAAAAUAUUUUAAUAAAUUUAUCCUUUUAGCACGUGAAGAGAUCGAAUGACCAUACGAUAAUGAGUAAAUGGAUGACACCUUAUUUAAAUUUAUAGAUAAUGAGUUAAUAUGAUUAUAUAGUAUUGAAAUUAAGUGAUUAUAAGAAUAAUGUUUCAACUAUUAGUAAAUUAUAUGGAAUUUGUAAUUAUUGUUUUCUGAAUCAAGUUCAAAACUGAAAUAAAGGAUUUUAAGAGUAAAUAUUUUUUUCAUAAAAAUAAAACAACGCAUUUUCAAAUUUAAGUUUUGAUCAAUCAGUUAAUGAUACCAAAUACGUAACUAUAGUUUUUGCUGUAAAAAAAGUGAAACUAUUUUUUUUAAUCAAGUUCGGAACAAAAAUAGAGGAUUUUAAGAGUAAGUACUUUUUCCUUAAAAACAAAAAGAUUAACAGAUUUUUCAAAUUUAAGUUUUGAUCGAUAAUAUUAAUAAUGAUACCUGUAACUAUUGUUUUUUCUGUAAAAAAAGAAUGUAACUAUUUCUAGUAAAAAAAAAAAUGUAACUAUUUUUUAUCUGUAAUCUUGUUUUGUGAAGGAAGAGUAAAAGUAAAAUAAUAGCUUUAAGGGUAACAGAUACUUUUCAACGCAAAUAUUUAUUGUUUUAGGUUAUUAUAAUUGGAUUUUUUUUACUAUAUUAAGAGUUAUUUGGAAAAUUGCAAUAAUUUUUUUGAUAAUGAACAAAAUGUUGUUGAUAAUUUUUUUUUAAUUUUGAUUAAGGUAAACUACAAAAAAUAAAUUCACAGUAAUGAGAGAUGGAUUUGGAUACCCUAAACAUAUUCAACAUGAUUAAGUUAUGUUUGAAGUUUGUUUUUUACUAUCCUUUUUGAAGACAAAAUCCUUUAUGUUGUUUACAGACUCUAUUUUUUGCUUUAUGGCUGCUUAUAGCCUUAUUGUAUUGUAAUUAACACUUUUCAGCUCCCUUCGCACACCUUGUGCUUGAAGGACCGAUUACUUCUUUAAUAUAUUUCGCUUAUGGUCUGUUUGGUUGAGUAGAGAUUGUGAAGAGAGAUGAUGAAAAGAGAGAAAUUAAAGAGAAAUAGGUAACUUGUUGUGUUUGGAAUGAGAAGAAGUAGGGGAGAGAGGAAUAAUGUGUGGUCCUAUCAAAAGAUUCUUUCUACCCCUUGAAGCAGCGAAGAAAUGGGGAAGAAGAGCAAGUGUAUCGUGCUUUUACAAUUUAGUCUUUAUAGAAAAAUGUGCAAUUCAAAAAAUUUCACUUUUUAUGUGUAAAAUAAGUCAAUGGUAGGGGUAUUUUGAUACAUUUAAUAAUAAUCAACACUUCUCUCUUAUAUUUCUUUCAUAUCUCUUUUAUAUCAAACAAUACAUCAAAUCUACUCUAUUUCUCACUUAUUUCUCAUAUUUUUCUCUCUUUUCAAACUCUCUCUUACCUAUUUCUCUAUGCACAACUUCUCUCAUAAACCAAACACACCCUUAGGGUAUGUUUGUUUCAAGGGAAAGAAAGUGAUGAGGAGAGAAAGAUGAGGGAAAAAAAGCCUUUAUGUUGUUUGGAUCUCCCUAAAAAGGUGAAGGAAAGAAAGAAUUUUUGUG